CAGCCGCCGCGGUAAUACGGAGGGUGCGAGCGUUAAUCGGAAUUACUGGGCGUAAAGCGUACGCAGGCGGUUUGUUAAGUCAGAUGUGAAAUUCCCGAGCUUAACUCGGGAACUGCCUUUAAGACUGCCGAGCUAGUAGGUGAGAGAGGUAAGUGGAAUUCCGAGUGUAGAGGUGAAAUUCGUAGAUAUUCGGAAGAACACCAGUGGCGAAGGCGGCCAUCUGGGACAACACUGACGCUGAGGCACGAAAGCGUGGGGAGCAAACAGGAUUAGAUACCCCAGUAGUCCCUGUCUCUUAUAC
rnacentral:rRNA from 1 species